rnacentral:rRNA from 1 species
UACGUAGGGUGCGAGCGUUGCCCGGAUUUAUUGGGCGUAAAGAGCUCGUAGGUGGUUCGGUAAGUCGGAUGUGAAAUCUCCAGGCUCAACCUGGAGGGGUCAUUCGAUACUGCCGUGACUAGAGGUCGGUAGGGGAGUGUGGAAUUCCUGGUGGAGCGGUGAAAUGCGCAGAUAUCAGGAGGAACACCCGUAGCGAAGGCGGCACUCUGGGCCGAUACUGACACUGAGGAGCGAAAGCGUGGGGAGCGAACAGG